rnacentral:lncRNA from 1 species
CAUUAUUGUACUCUUCUAAAGGAAAACAAACAAAAUGGCUUCCAAAACUAAGCAAACCCUAUUUUUGUUAUCUUUCUGAAUCUGAAAUUCCUGUGACACAGUUUCCAUCACAUUGCCGUCUCGGGGAAGUGUACAGAAACAUUGCAGACACAUAUUUUCUAGAACCUACUGAGGAAAGUUUAUCUUCUAGAAAAUCUUUAGACCUCAUGUUCAAUGGCAGUGAACGAAGCGCACUGAAGAUUCUAUAUAUGCUCUAUGUUCUCACGGAAUGCACGUGGACCCAAUCACAGUUGUAAGUAUAACGUACUAGUAAACUAUAUGUUUAAAAAGUCAUAAAAAAAUGUACGUGUAAUUAGAUUUCGUGUUUACCUGACGGGAUUGAUACCUUUUAUUAAAUAUGUUAGGUACUAAGUCAGCCGUAAGCGAUUGUGUAACACAAUUGUGUUUCAUAUCAAAGUGUAAUUAAAUAUAGCAUGAACGAAACAAUUACAUGUACCCUUUAGACACCUAAUAAUAAUGUAUACGAAUAUUAUAGACAUAUACCCUGCAGCCAAUAAAUGACCAUGUCUACUGUGAAAUAACAUGUAUUCUUCAGGGGUUAAUUGCAUAGUUUGACAAUUAACCACAGAGUAUUAUUUAACAUCUAGACUACUACUUAACCGGCCUACAGCUAUGGACUUUAUUUGGACAUCUGGGCUAUAUAAGCCCAGAUGGACUUCAAGGACACAAUUCGAUUAGACCAGAAUUCGUCAGAUCUCGGCCAGUGUCUCAGUGAAAAAUAUUUAUUUGAACUUUUAAACGAUCUUUGAAAACUUGUAAAUUAAGUAAUAAAUUCUAAUUUGACAAUUUAGUUAACUUAUUGACUCCGCCACAAUUGGCCUAAGGAAAUACUUCUUUAGCUCAAUCGGUGUACGCACUUCCUUGCACUUCCUUGCACACAGAUGUCCCGGGUUCAACUCCAGCAGGAGACACAGAUAAAAAAAUGUGUUGAAUCAUGUUUUCUAUUUACAGAUAAGUAAACAACACACUGCUACAUUAAUUUGCACAUACUAGGAAUAUUAUUAUAUUUGUCAGUCAUGAUUUCGUCUUUUACAGGAUAAUUUUCAGUGAAUAAAAAUCAAUCGUUUAUUUGGUACAAAUGCAUGCCCUUUCAUAAUUUCAUCGUAGUCCAGGAUUAACAGUAACAGCAUUAUACCGCUGUUCAAAAGUCAUAAAUACAUAAAUAUAUAAUUAUUCAUUUGUGUCAUUUAUAAAAAAAAAAUCAUAUAUGUAUAAUUUACAUAUAUGUAUCAGUUAUAAAAAAACAAAACAAACAAAGAAAGGGUGCGCUAUUAAAACAUAAAUGUGAUCCAACAGAGGUAGCUUGUGUACGCCAAAUGAGCGUUUCGAUUGCGUGCGUCUGCUUUACAAAUUUAUUGUAAUGAUUGAAAUUAUUUUGACUGUUUUAGAGAAAAAGGUUAUAACAAAAAAAUAUCACACAAUUAAAAUGAUCAAUGAUCUAUGUAAUUGGGAUCAAUUCAGAAGAACCCUGUCGGACAAAUAUGUUCACCAUGUUAUCAUUCCAUACUCAGGCUAAAAUGGAGUCUCUGCUUAUAGUGUCUGAUAAACGGACUGAACCAGAAAAACGCAACCUUGUUUACUGAUCCAUGAAAUUAGUUCAAGGCCAUAUAACUCUGCCGGAUACCUUACAACCAUUGCCUACAUCAAACAUCAUUUACCCCACCGUUUGGAGUAUAUCAUUAACGGGAUAGACCACGAAAACCUUACCUUGGUUAUUCAUUCAUGUAAUAAUAUGUAAGUCAACUGAAACCUGUCUACUAGAUAUCCACAUACAUAUAUACCUGGCAAGGACACCAACAAGAAUUACACAACAUAAAUUAUAUAUAUAAAUGAUAAUGUUAAACUGAACAUACAUUGAAUCACAUGUUAUCCCACAUCAUAACUUCUUCCGUGAUGCAAAAGUUGCUAACAAUUUACUACUCAACUAUAUUAUUAUUUUUUAUCAUUAUUUUCAGAAUUAGAAGCAUUAGUUCUUAAACAAACUCAGAAACAACAUCGAGGAUGUACAUUUAAAUCCGUUCAAUACUGAUAUGCUGGUACAAACUAACCCUGACAGUAAAGCAGCAACGUUGAGGAUGUACACUAAAAUCCGUCCAAUACUGAUAUGCUGGUACAAACCAACACUAACAGAAAAGCAGCAACGCUGGACAGAUGUUUCAACGAUGUGUUUAAACUUUACAAAUCUACGUGAAAUUGUAUACUACAUUUGAUUAACUCAGUUGUUGGAGGAAAUGUGUGAAAGUAGUUAUAAAAGGUACCAAGAUUAUAAUAUAAUACUUUAGACGUGCGUUUCGUCUUCAUAAGACUCAUCAGUGACGCUCAGAUCAGUUAUAAAGCCAAUAGAGCAUUGAGGACCAAAGCAGUUGAAUAUUUGAUAUAUCACUUAUUUUUUCUAUUGUUUACAUGAAAAUACUACAAUGCGUGAUCCAAAAUAUACACUGCCUUAUGUUAUUUGUUUAAACAAGUUGCGACAGACGAGUGGCC